UACGUAGGUGGCAAGCGUUGUCCGGAAUUAUUGGGCGUAAAGCGCGCGCAGGCGGUUAUGUAAGUCUGAUGUUAAAGCCCGAGGCUCAACCUCGGCUCGCAUUGGAAACUGUGUAACUUGAGUGCAGAAGAGGAAAGUGGUAUUCCACGUGUAGCGGUGAAAUGCGUAGAGAUGUGGAGGAACACCAGUGGCGAAGGCGACUUUCUGGUCUGUAACUGACGCUGAGGCGAGAAAGCGUGGGGAGCAAACAGG
rnacentral:rRNA from 1 species